rnacentral:tRNA from 1 species
GAGCCAGUAGCGCAGCCUGGAUAGCGCACCUGCCUUCUAAGCAGGGGGUCGGGAGUUCAAACAGGGUGGACGUCAUCGUCUCCUCAGAAAAUCUUCCCUGGCUCG